GCUUUCCCUCCAGAGUGGAUCCUGAGUACGGCGGAACACGUGAAAUUCCGUCGGAAUCCGGGAGGACCAUCUCCCAAGGCUAAAUACUCCCUAGUGACCGAUAGUGAACCAGUACCGGGAGGGAAAGGUGAAAAGCACCCCGGAAGGGGAGUGAAACAGUUCCUGAAACCGGGUGCCUACAAGUAGGUAGAGGCCGUUAAUGGGUGAUAGCGUGCCUUUUGUAGAAUGAACAGGCGAGUUACGAU
rnacentral:rRNA from 1 species